CCUGACGACCAUAGCGAGUGUGAACCACCUGAUCCCAUCUCGAACUCAGAAGUGAAAGUGCUCAGCGCCGAUGGUAGUGUGGGGUCUCCCCAUGUGAGAGUAGGACAUCGUCAGGC
rnacentral:rRNA from 1 species